UACCAGCACCCCGAGUGGUCGGGACGAUUAUUGGGCCUAAAGCAUCCGUAGCCGGUUCUACAAGUCUUCCGUUAAAUCCAGCUGCUUAACAGAUGGGCUGCGGAAGAUACUAUGGAGCUAGGAGGCGGGAGAGGCAAGCGGUACUCGAUGGGUAGGGGUAAAAUCCGUUGAUCCAUUGAAGACCACCAGUGGCGAAGGCGGCUUGCCAGAACGCUCUCGACGGUGAGGGAUGAAAGCUGGGGGAGCAAACCGG
rnacentral:rRNA from 1 species